AUUUAAUAUUAAGUCUUAUGCGCCUGAAGUGUUGUAAUGGCUCGACUCCAAGUGUUUCUAAUAUUAUUUUCAAUACCAUAACAGGAUAUUACUUGUAUGAACAAAAUGUUUGUGUAUUCAUCAAGUACUUCAGUGUAUAGAUUACCAGGAGAAUAUUCAAAUUAAAAUAUGCAAGUCUGCGCAGUAAUAAUUUUUCAGUGAUGUAAUUGUCAGUGAAAUGUACCUGUAGUCAUUGUGAUUUAUCAAGAAUAAUAUAUAUUAUUGCUGGUUUUAUUUAUUACAUCGAACCAGCAAUAUUCAA